UUUUAGUGGCGGACGGGUGAGUAACGCGUGGGUAACCUGCCUCACACUGGGGGAUAACACUUAGAAAUAGGUGCUAAUACCGCAUAAGCGCACGGGACUGCAUGGCCUUGUGUGAAAAACUCCGGUGGUGUGAGAUGGACCCGCGUCUGAUUAGCUGGUUGGCGGGGUAACGGCCCACCAAGGCGACGAUCAGUAGCCGGCCUGAGAGGGUGGACGGCCACAUUGGGACUGAGACACGGCCCAAACUCCUACGGAAGGCAGCAG
rnacentral:rRNA from 1 species